UGGCUGGGAGGGCGGGGCUUCCUCUGUCCACAGGGCAUUAAGCCCUCCUGGCCU
rfam:Pelodiscus sinensis unplaced genomic scaffold scaffold80, whole genome shotgun sequence.